rnacentral:lncRNA from 1 species
CUUUCACUCCCAUUGCCCAGACUGGACUGCAGUGGUGCAAUCUUGGCUCACUGUGACCUUCAGGGAAGCUGAUUUCUUAGCCCAGCUGUGGAACUGUCCAGAGCUCCCCAGCUACCCAAGUGUAUUCCUCCUCUCCGCCUCCUCCUCUUCUCCUCCUCCUCCUCCUCCUCCUCCUCCUCCUUCUCUCUCUCUCUCUUUAAUUUUUUAAGAAACAGUGUCAAGCAAUCCUCCUGCCUCAGCCUCCUGAGUAGCUGGCACUACAGGCACGUGCCACCCCAAGUGGCCUUUUCCAGCAGGAAGUUUAGGAGCCUAAUGAGCGCAAUGCAAGCAGAACCAAAUGGUUCCAAUACCACGCACCAAGUGCAUUGGCACCACAUUUCUGGGUAAAAGGGUCCUGCUUGGCAGGGGGGACUUUGAGGGGUCAGGGAGGGCAAAAGGGGCCUCUCCCCUUCCUUGGCUCAGAGAUGUUCACGCAACUCCCUGCCGUCUGCAGAGGUCACUGUAAGCCAGCAGACUCAUUCUCACGUGGCUGAAUGGAGGUUUUCCAAUCAAGGAAGGGGCAAGAGAAGAAAAGCCCAGGGCCCUCUCCAUUCCCUUCCUUCGUAGACAUGCUUUUAAAAAAUGAUUUAAAGGCUGGACACGGAGGCUCAUGACUGUAGUCUCAGCUGCUUGGGAGGCUGAAGUGGGAGGAUCGCUUGAGCUCAAGAGGUCAAGGCUGGAGUGAACUAGGUUCACUGUGCUUCAGCCUGGACCACAGAGUGAGACUCUGUCUCCAAAAAAAAAAAGAAAGAAAGAAAAAAGAUUUAAUCUCAUCUCUUAAAUAAUUUACUGCGGAAUUGCUGCUAAUCUUUACAGAUCCUCCAAGAAUUCUAUGGUUUAUGCCAGCAUCAUGAGUUUGCCCCUUACUAUUUAUUGAUUUUUGGUCAGAAAAUGUAAAUAAAUUUAAAAAAUGUACAUAAAGUGAAGCCCAAAUCACUGGUGCACAGUAUUGAUUUGAUUAUCAAUAGAGAUUUUUUGUUGUUCAAUCUGCAGUGUUCUAAAGUUACCUUUCAACUUGAAAUUCUAAGCCAGCUUGCAUUAUCAGAUUUUUUAGAAACCUUGAUGACAUCAAGCUGGAAAUAUUCCAGGACCCUCGUCUCAUUGAAGAAAGAGCUAAGGAUGAGUGACUCACCCAAGGCUCUGUUGGUUGCAGAAUGGGGGCUCCUUGGACCAGACAGUGUGUUUAGCAAAAACAUAUGAUGGCAACCAGGCUGGGACAGAGUUGCUACUAGAAUGACAUCUUUAUCCCCUCGUCGGCUUUCAGGGAGUUCUCUGACUUCCUAAGGAAUGGGCUUAACAAAUAAUCCUUGGCAACCAGAAUGUUGAUCUCAUGUUUAAAAAUAUAUUUAUCUAAUGUUAAAACACACGCACUUAACUAUAUGGCAUGCUCUAUUCAUUAAAAAAUAAUACUGUUGAAUGCCUCCCGGGUGCAAGGCCCUGGCUGGAUGUGAAUUAAUGAAGACACGUGAUUUCUGCCUUUAAGAGGCUUCCAGGAUCACAAGGGAGAAAAGACAUGAACACAAAUAACUGGGCCAUAAAAGCAGAAGGUGAGAAACGAUUCUCAAGAGACUAAAAGUACUAUUUAUUCAUCCAUUCACAAAAACGUAUUGAACCUACUUUAUGAAGAUUCAUAAAGGGAACUUUUCACUAGGAAAAUCAAAAGGGUAUCAGGGAGGAAUUUUUUUUUUUUUUUUGUACAGGUUUUGAAUUGUUUAAGUGAUUUAUGUUGCAGUGGACAUCUCUGUAU